rnacentral:rRNA from 1 species
AUGAACGCUGGCGGCGUGCCUAAUACAUGCAAGUCGAGCGAACAGACGAGGAGCUUGCUCCUCUGACGUUAGCGGCGGACGGGUGAGUAACACGUGGAUAACCUACCUAUAAGACUGGGAUAACUUCGGGAAACCGGAGCUAAUACCGGAUAAUAUAUUGAACCGCAUGGUUCAAUAGUGAAAGACGGUUUUGCUGUCACUUAUAGAUGGAUCCGCGCCGCAUUAGCUAGUUGGUAAGGUAACGGCUUACCAAGGCAACGAUGCGUAGCCGACCUGAGAGGGUGAUCGGCCACACUGGAACUGCGCCACGGUCCAGACUCCUACGGGAGGCAGCAGUAGGGAAUCUUCCGCAAUGGGCGAAAGCUUGACGGAGCAACGCCGCGUGAGUGAUGAAGGUCUUCGGAUCGUAAAACUCUGUUAUUAGGGAAGAACAAAUGUGUAAGUAACUAUGCGCGUCUUGACGGUACCUAAUCAGAAAGCCACGGCUAACUACGUG